UUAACGGAUUUUCCUCUUACUAUAAAUUUCAUUGUUGUCGAUAUUGACAU
rnacentral:tRNA from 1 species